CCCUAGGAUGCGGCACUUCUCUUGCUUUUUAGCUAAACUUUACAAGCAAAUCUGGCUAUAGCACUGAAUUAUGCUACUUCUUUGGUCUUUAUUCUCUGUAGAGCUGUGUGAGGGAGAGUGGAUAUGGAAUACCUUAAAUGCUUUUGUUUCUCUCAGUACAUGUUUAUUCAGUUUUGCUCUGCACUUGUUUUCAGAAUGAGCAAAAUGCAAGAUGAUACUUGACAACAAAGACACCUUUCAGCUCUCUCCUACUGUAACUGACAGGGAAAUUGAACAAUAUUGACAGAGACUUGUACAAGAAAACAAAGGGAAAGUGGGGCUGAGCUGGCAACAUACCAGCUCCAUUUCCUGUUCCCUAUCAAACAUUCACUAGAGCACAUCUCCCCAUGUGGAAAGAAGGAAUGUGACAGAAAGACCAAUUUAUGCUGAAGCAGACCAGACACUUCACCAGUCAUCCUGAGCUGCUGAGAGGUGAAUAUAAAGAACUGAGGAACACGAGUCUGUCUCCCUCUACUGGACCCAAAUUAAGGCUUGGAUUUGAAAUGAGAUCACAUGGCAAUUUCUUGGUAUGCCCAAACAUCAGACAAAAAAAUGAAUGAACCCUUGCGUUGUAAACCUGACCCAGACCAGACUGCAUCACACAGGCUGCAUCUGUGAGGAACAUGAAGCAAUUUGGGAACCUGUACAGGAGAACUGGCCAUUCAC